CUUGCCUCCAAAUGGCUUAUAAUAAACUCACUGAGACACUCAAAGGGAAGUACUCACUUGGUCUAGGGCCUUUUCAGAGGCCUCAAGAUUUAAUUACAAAGAUUCUGUUCCUUUGAAUUUUUUUUUUUAAACAGCCCUGGCCACCUGACUUCUAAGGGAAAACCGGAGUGGGAGUAGUGUGCUCUCAGAGUGAAUCAUUUGGGUUCAUCACUCCUGUUGUUAUUUUGAUGAAUGACUUUAAAGUCUAGGGUUUAAGUUACUUUAAGCACAGUACUAUAGACUUUCCCACAGAAUCCCACAGUUGCUGAUACAGAGGGGAAAAAAUUGUGGACUAUCUCCUCUUUGGCUUCUCACCCCUGCCCGCUCUGUUUAAUAUUCAAUUAAGCCAUUCCGUGCAGAUGUGCCAGUGCCCUACUGCUUUACAUGGAUCUCCACAGUCCAUGCUUCUCCAUUAGGCGUCAGAAUCUUUGUCCAGCUCAUUCGGUAGUUCACAUCACACCACUCAGGAGGUGAUUGAGCAUGCCAAAUACUGCAUAAAACCCCAGGCUGGGGCGUUGUCCCAGGCCUGCCAAAGUGCUGGCAGGCCCCAGCCUGACUGGACUCUCACUUAGCCUCAGUCAGUCAUGGAGACUGAGACUUCUGUCCAGCAAACUGGGAAAAAAUGUUAUAAAAUUCCUAAUGGAAAUAUGCACUUUAAGGUAUCAUUCAAGAUGCUCAUUUAGUAUUAGUAAAAA
rnacentral:lncRNA from 1 species